CUAAUUAAAUGAAUUGGGUUGGAUAAGAAUUAAAGGUAUUGGACUAUGUAUAGCUCAAGUGUGGCCAAAGAAGUGAGUAAGAGACCAAGCAAUACAUUAAAGGAAUGGCUCAAUUUUUAACCCAAGUGGGAGAGGAAUUUUUGGACAUUUGUCAACUCAAAUAAGAGGUAAAAUAGAAAGCAAAUUGGGAGCAUUUUUAGGCCACAUGGCCGGCCAAAAGAGAAGCAAUAACAAGGGGGGGAUGAAUUUAAUAAGUGUUCACUUUAGUUGUUGAACCACUUUCACCAACUCUCCAUGUGUCCAUUGGUUAUUUUGUCCAACACUUUGUUCAUUAAUCUUGCAAGCAACCACUUGGAUAUUGCUAAGGGGAAAGAAAGAGAGAAUUAGUGGGAGAGUAAGGCCAUAUGGCCGGACCAUGCUCAAGAAGAAAAGGAGAUUGGGAGAUAACAAAAUAUAUCUAUAGAUUUUCCAACACUUAGAUCAUAUUUUUCCCUUUCAUCACUUUUAUUAUUCUUGCUAGAACACAAGAAAAAGAGAGAGGGAGAGAGAAGAGGAGGCCAUGUUCGGCCAUCCUAAGAGGAGAAGGAGGAGAUUUUGAUGUUCAUACAAUCAAGAUCCAUCUACAUCUUUGAAGGAGAGAAGGA
rnacentral:lncRNA from 1 species